rnacentral:rRNA from 1 species
UACGUAGGGUGCGAGCGUUAAUCGGAUUUACUGGGCGUAAAGCGUGCGCAGGCGGCCCGUUAAGACAGGUGUGAAAUCCCUGGGCUCAACCUAGGAAUUGCGCUUGUGACUGGCGGGCUCGAGUACGGUAGAGGGGGGUGGAAUUCCUGGUGUAGCAGUGAAAUGCGUAGAUAUAUGGAAGAACACCAGUGGCGAAGGCAGCCCCCUGGGCCUGUACUGACGCUCAUGCACGAAAGCGUGGGGAGCAAACAGG